rnacentral:tRNA from 1 species
GGGCGUUUGGUUUAGUGGUAUAAUGUUCGCUUCGCACUUAUCACUCAGGCAUGCGAAAGGUCGCCGGUUCGAUUCC